rnacentral:rRNA from 1 species
GACGUAGGGUGCAAGCGUUGUCCGGAUUUACUGGGCGUAAAGAGCGUGUAGGCGGCUUGGUAAGUCCGCUGUGAAAGUCCAGGGCUCAACCCUGGAAUGCCGGUGGAAACUGUCAAGCUUGAGUCCGGAAGAGGCGAGUGGAAUUCCUGGUGUAGCGGUGAAAUGCGCAGAUAUCAGGAGGAACACCAAUGGCGAAGGCAGCUCGCUGGGACGGUACUGACGCUGAGACGCGAAAGCGUGGGGAGCAAACAGG